CCUACGGGUGGCAGCAGUGGGGAAUAUUGCACAAUGGGGGAUACCCUGAUGCAGCGACGCCGCGUGAGUGAAGAAGUCAUUCGUUAUUUAAAGCUCUAUCAGCAGGGAAGAAAAUUACGGUACCUACAUAAGAAGCCCCGGCUAACUCCGUGCCGGCAGCCGCGGUAAUACGUAGGGGGCAAGCGUUAUCCGGAUUUACUGGGUGUAAAGGGAGCGUAGACGGCAGUGCAAGUCUGGAGUGAAAGGCGGGGGCUCAACCCCAGGACUGCUCUGGAAACUGUACGGCUGGAGUGCAGGAGAGGUAAGUGGAAUUCGUAGUGUAGCGGUGAAAUGCGUAGAUAUUAGGAGGAACACCAGUGGCGAAGGCGGCUUACUGGACUGUAACUGACGUUGAGGCUCGAAAGCGUGGGUAGCAAACAGGAUUAGAUACCCGGGUAGUC
rnacentral:rRNA from 1 species